rnacentral:misc_RNA from 1 species
AGCAGCCGCGGUAAUUCCAGCUCCAAUAGCGUAUAUUAAAGUUGUUGCAGUUAAAAAGCUCGUAGUUGAAUUUCGGGAUCAAUAUAUCGGUCGUGCCUUGGUACGUACUGGUAUCAUUGGUUUCUCCUUUCUGACGAACCAUGAUGUCAUUAAUUUGGUGUUAUGGGAAGUUAGGACUGUUACUUUGAAAAAAUUAGAGUGUUUAAAGCAGGCUUUGGCUUGAAUACAUUAGCAUGGAAUAAUGAAAUAGGACGUUCGAACCUAUUUUGUUGGUUUCUAGGAUCAACGUAAUGAUUAAUAGGGAUAGUUGGGGGCAUUAGUAUUCAAUUGUCAGAGGUGAAAUUCUUGGAUUUAUUGAAGACUAACUACUGCGAAAGCAUUUGCCAAGGAUGUUUUCAUUAAUCAAGAACGAAAGUUAGGGGAUCGAAGACGAUCAGAUACCGUCGUAGUCUUAACCAUAAACUAUGCCGACUAGGAAUCAGACGAUGUUAAUUUUUUAAUGACUCGUUUGGCACCUUAC